rnacentral:rRNA from 1 species
AGUGAACGCUGGCGGUAGGCCUAACACAUGCAAGUCGAACGGCAGCACAGUAAGAGCUUGUUCUUACGGGUGGCGAGUGGCGGACGGGUGAGGAAUACAUCGGAAUCUACUUUUUCGUGGGGGGUAACGUAGGGAAACUUACGCUAAUACCGCAUACGACCUACGGGUGAAAGCAGGGGAUCUUCGGACCUUGCGCGAUUGAAUGAGCCGAUGUCGGAUUAGCUAGUUGGCGGGGUAAAGGCCCACCAAGGCGACGAUCCGUAGCUGGUCUGAGAGGAUGAUCAGCCACACUGGAACUGAGACACGGUCCAGACUCCUACGGGAGGCAGCAGUGGGGAAUAUUGGACAAUGGGCGCAAGCCUGAUCCAGCCAUACCGCGUGGGUGAAGAAGGCCUUCGGGUUGUAAAGCCCUUUUGUUGGGAAAGAAAAGCAGCAGGUUAAUACCCCGCUGUUCUGACGGUACCCAAAGAAUAAGCACCGGCUAACUUCGUG